rnacentral:rRNA from 1 species
UACGUAGGGUGCAAGCGUUAAUCGGAUACUGGGCGUAAAGCGUGCGCAGGCGGUUUUGUAGGCCGGAUGUGAAAUCCCCGGGCUUAACCUGGGAAUGGCAUUCGGGACUGCAAGGCUGGAGUGCGGCAGAGGAGACUGGAAUUCCUGGUGUAGCAGUGAAAUGCGUAGAUAUCAGGAGGAACACCGAUGGCGAAGGCAGGUCUCUGGGCUGACACUGACGCUCAUGCACGAAAGCGUGGGGAGCAAACAGG